GUGCUCUCUUCGGCAGCACAUAUACUAAAAUUGGAAUGAUACAGGGAAGAUUAGCACGGCCCCUGUGCAAGGGUGACCUGCAAAUUUGUGAAGUGUUCCAUAUUUUU
rnacentral:snRNA from 1 species